rnacentral:rRNA from 1 species
UACGUAGGGGGCGAGCGUUGUCCGGAAUUACUGGGCGUAAAGGGUGCGUAGGCGGUCUAUUAAGUCAGAUGUGAAAUACCAUGGCUUAACUGUGGCAUUGCAUUUGAAACUGGUAGGCUAGAGUGCAGGAGAGGGAAGUGGAAUUCCUAGUGUAGCGGUGAAAUGCGUAGAGAUUAGGAGGAACACCAGUGGCGAAGGCGGCUUCCUGGACUGUAACUGACGCUGAGGCACGAAAGCGUGGGGAGCGAAC